GUGCUUGCUUUGGCAGCUCGUGUACUAAAGCUGCGAUGAUACAAAGAUUGCCACGGCCCCUGGGCAAGGAUGACACAAAUUCACAAGCUGAUCCAUAUUUUU